GGCCCGUUGGUCAAGCGGUUAAGACACCGCCCUUUCACGGCGGUAACACGGGUUCGAAUCCCGUAAGGGUCA
rnacentral:tRNA from 1 species